AGAGUUUGAUCCUGGCUCAGAACGAACGCUGGUGGCGUGUUUUAUACAUGCAAGUCGAGCGAGGACGGUAGCAAUACCGAGCCGAGCGGCGAACGGGUGAGUAACGCGUAAGCAAUCUGCCCUGCAAUAGGGGAUAACCAUUCCAACGGAUGGCUAAUACCGUAUAUCGUGGCUUCCCGCCUGGGGAGUUGACGAAAGAUUUAUCGUUGCAGGAUGAGCUUGCGUCCGAUUAGCUAGUUGGCGGGGUAACGGCCCACCAAGGCGACGAUCGGUAUCCGGCCUGAGAGGGUGAUCGGACACAUUGGGACUGAGUUACGGCCCAGACUCCUACGGGAGGCAGCAGUAGGGAAUAUUGCGCAAUGGGGGGAACCCUGACGCAGCAACGCCACGUGUGGGAAGAAGCAUUUCGGUGUGUAAACCACUGUCGAGAGGGAAUAAAAAGAGGUUUCGGCCUCUCUGAAUGUACCUUUAAAGGAAGCACCGGCAAACUUCGUGCCAGCAGCCGCGGUAAUACGAGGGGUGCAAGCGUUGUUCGGAAUCACUGGGCGUAAAGGGAGCGUAGGUGGAAUUGCAAGUGGACCGUGCAAACCCGGGGCCCAACCCCGGACUCGCGGUCCAGACUGCAGUUCUUGAGUUGUUCAGAGGUAGACGGAAUUCCUGGUGUAGCGGUGGAAUGCGUAGAGAUCAGGAAGAACACCGAUGGCGAAGGCAGUCUACUGGGGACCAACUGACGCUGAGGCUCGAAAGCGUGGGUAGCAAACAGGAUUAGAUACCCUGGUAGUCCACGCUGUAAACGAUGCAUACUGGGUGUCUGGCAGCAAUGCCGGGUACCGUAGCUAACGCGUUAAGUAUGCCGCCUGGGGAGUACGCUCGCAAGAGUGAAACUCAAAGGAAUUGACGGGGGCCCGCACAAGCGGUGGAGCAUGUGGUUUAAUUCGGAGCAACGCGCAGAACCUUACCAGGGUUUGACAUGGGAUCGCCGCAGCGAGAGAUCGCUGUUUGGUAGCAAUACCACGGUCCGCACAGGUGCUGCAUGGCUGUCGUCAGCUCGUGUCGUGAGAUGUUGGGUUAAGUCCCGCAACGAGCGCAACCCACGUUGUCAGUUGCUACCCGCUAGGGAGCUCUCUGACGAGACUGCCGGGGACAACCCGGAGGAAGGUGUGGAUGACGUCAAGUCCUCAUGGCCCUUACAUCCUGGGCUACACACGUGCUACAAUGGGCGGUACAAUGGGUCGCAAAACCGCGAGGUGGAGCCAAUCCCCAAAGCCGUCCUCAGUUCGGAUAGGAGUCUGCAACUCGACUCCUUGAAGCUGGAAUCGCUAGUAGUCGUGGAUCAGAACGCCACGGUGAAUACGUUCCCGGGCCUUGUACACACCGCCCGUCAAGCCAUGGGAGAAGGGAGUGCUCUAAGCCGUGAUGCCAACCCGCAAGGGAGCUAGCGUCUAAAGCAAGACCUUUGACUGGGGCUAAGUCGGAACAAGGUAGCCGUACCGGAAGGUGCGGCUG
rnacentral:rRNA from 1 species